rnacentral:rRNA from 1 species
AUUGAACGCUGGCGGCAUGCUUUACACAUGCAAGUCGAACGGUAACAGGCCGCAAGGUGCUGACGAGUGGCGAACGGGUGAGUAAUGCAUCGGAACGUGCCCAGUCGUGGGGGAUAACUACUCGCAAGAGUAGCUAAUACCGCAUACGAUCUAUGGAUGAAAGCGGGGGACCGUAAGGCCUCGCGCGAUUGGAGCGGCCGAUGUCAGAUUAGGUAGUUGGUGGGGUAAAGGCUCACCAAGCCAACGAUCUGUAGCUGGUCUGAGAGGACGACCAGCCACACUGGGACUGAGACACGGCCCAGACUCCUACGGGAGGCAGCAGUGGGGAAUUUUGGACAAUGGGCGCAAGCCUGAUCCAGCAAUGCCGCGUGCAGAAAGAAGGCCUUCGGGUUGUAAACUGCUUUUGUACGGAACGAAACGGCUCUGGUUAAUACCCGGGGCUAAUGACGGUACCGUAAGAAUAAGCACCGGCUAACUACGUG